AGUGAACGCUGGCGGUAGGCCUAACACAUGCCAGUCGAACGGCAGCACAGUAAGAGCUUGCUCUUACGGGUGGCGAGUGGCGGACGGGUGAGGAAUACAUCGGAAUCUACUUUUUCGUGGGGGAUAACGUAGGGAAACUUACGCUAAUACCGCAUACGACCUACGGGUGAAAGCAGGGGAUCUUCGGACCUUGCGCGAUUGAAUGAGCCGAUGUCGGAUUAGCUAGUUGGCGGGGUAAAGGCCCACCAAGGCGACGAUCCGUAGCUGGUCUGAGAGGAUUAUCAGCCACACUGGAACUGAGACACGGUCCAGACUCCUACGGGAGGCAGUAGUGGGGAAUAUUGGACAAUGGGCGCAAGCCUGAUCCAGCCAUACUGCGUGGGUGAAGAAGGCCUUCGGGUUGUAAAGCCCUUUUGUUGGGAAAGAAAAGCAGCAGGUUAAUACCCCGCUGUUCUGACGGUACCCAAAGAAUAAGCACCGGCUAACUUCGUG
rnacentral:rRNA from 1 species